AUACGGAGGGUGCAAGCGUUAAUCGGAAUUACUGGGCGUAAAGCGUACGUAGGCGGUCCGUUAAGUUAGAUGUGAAAGCCCCGGGCUUAACCUGGGAACUGCAUUUAAAACUGGCGGACUAGAGUUGAGUAGAGGGGAGUGGAAUUUCAGGUGUAGCGGUGAAAUGCGUAGAGAUCUGAAGGAACACCAGUGGCGAAGGCGACUCCCUGGACUCGAACUGACACUGAGGUACGAAAGCGUGGGUAGCAAACGGGAUUAGAAACCCUGGUAGUCC
rnacentral:rRNA from 1 species